CUUUAGUGUUUUUGUACUGUUGUUAAUUUGCUUAAAAUUUUAUUCAAAAAGUAUCUCUUGCUAUAAAGGUAAUUGUAACACAUUACAAUGAAAACCUAUUAUUGUGAGUUUUUAUAAAAAUUUUAAAUUAAUAUACAAAGAAUAAUACGUUUAAUUUUUGCAAUGCUCUACUUCUAAAAUGUCACCUUAACAUUUCCUUGCAGAAAAUGCUGGGGUUCUUUUUGGUUUUACAGAUUCAAUAUUCUAUAUUGUUUGAUGGUAAGCAGGAAGAGAAACUGCUAGUUAAGCAGUUUUCAGAGCUAAUUGUGCCAUUUAGUUGCCUAAGUGUCUUUGCCUCUCUCACUGUUUCAGUUGGCGGUGGUUCUCAUCCUUUUCCUAGUGCAGUCAGCUGGCUCCUCAGUACGAAGCUCUCUGCAUGUUUAUGCAGAGGAGCAGGAGUGCUAAAUUGGUGUCCCUUAGAAAGGCUUCAGGGAAAGAGACUGCUGUAAAGGGGAACACAAAAUGAAGAAUUUAAAUGAGGGAGCUCAGCUCAACUCUUUCCUGAAGAAUAACUUUAUGCCAAGGACAAGGACAGAGACACAGAGUUUUGUCACAGGGUGUGUGAUGUCAACACUUUUACUCAGCUCAUCAUAAGGGUUCCAAAGAGGCUCCAAUACAGCUGGUUGUUGUGUUUCGCUUUUUUCAUUAUAAACCAUUAUAUUGGGAAAGGCUUGAACUCCAAUUUAGUGUUAACACCCUUCCUCAUGGUACCAGUGACAUGUAUUGUGUCCCCACAUCUUACAGACUUUAAAAUAAAACUACACGUUAUGACUUACUGGAGUUUCUAUUUGUGAUAUGUACUGUGGAUUUGCUUUCUAAAGAAACCCUUAUCUUUUACAAAACUCUACUGAAAAUUUACAGAGAUGCUACUGUUCCUUGCUUCAAUAUAAUCAGGGUGGUAUAAGUUUGUACAUAGGUGAAAAGAGAUUGACUCUGACUUGAUAAUUGUUGAAGCUGUGUGAUAAAUGUUUGAGAUUUCAUUAUUCUCUAUACUUUUGUAUAUGUUUGAAAUUUUCCAUAAUAAAAAGUGCAAAACU
rnacentral:lncRNA from 1 species